UUGAUCCAGUAGUUCCCAAGACUUGAACGGCUUGAUGAAUUUCAGCAUUUAUAAGGAAUAUUCUUCUGUGGAUAUCACUGCUAAUUAUUCAUUGUGCAUUGUAUUUCAGAGAUUUUUUUUCCUACAUUUUAAACUGAAACCCAGAAUCUUUUACACAUUCGUAGUUUCAGAGCCAAAGCAAGUCAUCUAGUUGGCCAGCCCCGGUUCUUCACACUCGCUCAGCGUACUUACAACCUCAGUUUCACCACGAUAGGCUGGUACAUUUUAUUAUUUGUCACUUAUUUUUGUUUUAGGUUAGAGCCACAGCUGAAACAACUACAAACAAAAUAUGAUGAACUUAAAGAGAGAAAGUCUUCCCUUAGGAAUGCAGCAUAUUUCUUAUCUAAUUUAAAACAGCUUUAUCAAGAUUAUUCAGAUGUUCAAGCUCAAGAACCAAACGUAAAGGAAACGUAUGAUUCAUCCAGCCUUCCAGCUCUGUUAUUUAAAGCAAGAACACUUCUGGGAGCCGAAAGCCAUCUGCGAAAUAUCAACCAUCAGUUAGAGAAGCUCCUUGACCAGGGAUGAGAAGAGCAGUCUACUAAAAUGUGCCUAUAGGAAGACUAGUCUCAUGCUGUUACCUUCUGAAACUGUACCUUUAUAAAUCAAUUGUUUUGCAAAGAAGUUAUGGCCUACUUAGAAUCUAAAAUUUGUUAUUCAAAUUAAAUGGCUGUGAACAAUGUUAAA
rnacentral:lncRNA from 1 species